rnacentral:tRNA from 1 species
AGUAGGAUGGCUGAUAAUAAGCAACAAAUUGUAGCUUUGUUUAUGAGGAAAACCUCUUCUAUUG